UCGCAUUUUUGGAAAAUAAUGUAAUAAAUGUCCACACCCCCACACUUUACACCCCUCUUCACUCCACCCCUCCCUCCUUUGUGAUUGAAAAUGAGAGUCCCUUCACCUUUAAAAAGAAAAUAGAUGAGCGGUCUGCACCCGCAAGGCGGUGCUCUUGUUUGUGUUGUGUUGACAUGCUUUACAAUAUUACAUUGUAUUGCAGCUAUCAAUAUGUGAAAGGAAGCUUUAGCCAAAAAUGGCUGUUUUUAUUUUGCUUCCCCAAAAUUUAUUUUGGGGGGAGCAUAUAGUCGCGGCUUCGUCUGUCCGUCCGUGCACAAUUUUUGUCCGGGCUAUUUCUCAGCAACUAAUGACCGGAAUUCAAUGAAACUUUAUGGGAAGCUUCACUACCAAGAGGAGAUGUGUAUAUUAUCAGCGGGUUCUGGUCGGAUGAUUUUUCACAGAGUUAUGGCCCUUUGAAAUUUUCUAUAAAAAAAAAUCUUGUCCCCCCAGCUACUGUACCCUCAAGACGUUUUCUUUUAUCUGAAUAUAUAGUGCAAUAUUGUGACAAAAAAACUUUGGGGAGCAUCACCCGUCUCCGACGGUUUCUUGUUCUGAAUAUUUGUAUCUAAGUGGAGUUUCUAAAUUGUGUGUUAUUGGUCAAUGUAUGAACAUUUUAUCAGAGCGAAUAUACUUAAUAGAUAGUAAAACUUGCCAUUACCAUUCAAUACCAUGUGUAUAGGUUACGUUAAUAUAUACUUGAAAGUCAUGCAUAAUUUACAGACACAACAUUCUGCAAGUUUGAUUUAUGUUUUGUUUAUUACAUUUGAUUAUUGCAAGAUCCUGCUCUAUAUCUGUAUUUAUGAACGGUUUGAUUAUUUUCUCCUUAAAGUGAUAUUAUGGGCAUCUUACAGUUUAUAGGUGUUUAACGCAACUGUUGUUUAUUUUUGGUGUUUUCACUUCAUAUACACUUAUUUGUUAAUGCAGCAUUAACCUGCUAAACCAAUAUCCCGGAGAGAGAAAAAUAAUGCAUUUGAAUAUCAUCCUUACUUUCGUUUUGACAACUGACGACAGAAAUGAUUCGUUUUACAAUGUGAAUCUAAAUCUAGUUUUAGUGCAGAUUCGUUCAUACGACACAAAGACACUAUUUUGUUUUACGGAUCAUUUCGGCUUAGAGGACUGGGUGAGUCACGUAAAAUAUCGAAUUUAAUAGAUAUUUUUUAUAAACAACUGGUAGCAAGAUGAGUUGCAGAUAAUAGGUCAGUAACCACAUUUUAACUAACUCUUUUGACCUGUUAAUUCUUUUCAGCUUAAUUCAACAGUGAAAAAUGCCCAUAAUAUCACUUUAAACUAGUUUGUAUUGGAAUUAUUGAUUUGCCUAAGUGUCAUAUAAGUGGUAUAUUUCAAAGAGAUAGUGACCGACUUUGGAUUAGUUUAUAUAUAGGUAAAACACUUGAAUUCUGAUCCAUUGGGGCAUUAGAAAACAAUGCAAUUGACAAGUUCGAAUGAUAAAUGUUUAAAACGAAUUCUCUGCUUUAAGACUAAUAUUUCUGAAGGAACUAGAUUUAAAUAGAUAGGUAAUGCUGAUUAAGAUAAGAGAUUAAGUGAUAGGUUUAAAUAUAACUUUUUAAACUGUAUUUAUUUGCAAAUAUACAUAUUGAUCUAGAAGAAUUGGACCAUAGGUUCUCUACGUGCAAAUUUGUUAAAUGUUUAACUGGCAAUUUUUUUCGCAUUAUUAACACUUAAUUGUCUUAGUUGUGGUACAAUAGUGAAUAUGGGUAUUUUAAUUUUGACUAUAAAACUGAGUAAAAGGUUUUCUUUUGACAUGCUUUAGAAAGGCACCUUUUCUUACAAUUUUUAAUAUGCUUUUCAGUAAGCCAAUGCAAUAUAACAGGUCAAAUUUAUUAAGGCUUUAUUAGAAUAAAGCUGUCAAAUUCUUUGUGAAUUAAAUUGCAAAUGUUAUACCAGUACAUGUUAUUACUAAUUCAUGUCCAAUAUUUACAACAAUGUCAAUAUCUGCUUGGGAAAAUUGGUGGGACAUACAUGCAUUUAAAAAAAUUAAUAAGUGUAUGAGCAUAAAUGUUUCAAGUAGAUGCUAGAAAUUGGUGUUUGGUGUGCACCUAUGCACGUAUUAUUGAAGAAUUGCAAAUAAGCGAUCACUAUUUUUACUAUAAAUAACAUGUGUAUGUGUGUGUUACAAAAAUGGUGUCUUUGAGUUACAUUCUCAUCUUAUGUAAUUAUUUGAAUGAUUUGUGUGUACAAAUGUAGUUUAAUGAUGUUAUGGGAUUAAAUUUAUUUGUUCACAUUCAGGAGUGGACCAUUUUAUUCAUGAGCUAGAUCCUGUAGAUUAUUGCAUAAUACAUCAUGAUAUUAACACAUGUUUACAUGAAUAAAUUAUGCAUUAUUAAUACCGGUAAGCAUAAAAUGCAUAUGUUGUAGGUAGACAAUGAACUUGUUAAUGUUGCCAUGUUGAUUACAGUGUGUUUUUGAUCAUUAAUGUUGAUACAAACUAUAUGUUUGUGUUGAUUUUUGUUUUCAUAUCUGACUUGGAUAUUUUACUGAGGAUUGUGAGUGUUCUUUCAGAAAAAAAUGUGUAAUUUUGAGUGUGAAUUAGUUGCAUUGACAACAUAGGAAUUACAAAAGAAAUAAGAUGUUUCAGAUUAUUUUGUAAUCAGUAAAUCAAUGCUUCUGUUUAGUAUGAAUUGCUUCACAUGUUAUAAUAAUGGCCUCUUAAAGUUGAAUAUUACUAAUUUCAUGUGCUUGUUAACAUCAAAUUGUGUUUAGUUUAUCUCCCAUUAAUAUAUUAUACGACUUGUAUUUCUGGGUUAUGGACAAUGUGUAUGAGUCAAUUGGGAAGAUAUUGUUCUUCAUUAUAUUCACAAUAUCUAAGUAUUUAUCUGCUGUACGUAAGAUUAAUGAUAUUGCAAAUAUAUGUGCUUUAUGGAUAUGAUAUUGUAGUAAAUUUAUCUUCUUGUGGAAACAGUACUUUUAAUUAAGAAAGUAUUUAAUAUACACAUGUCUCUCUCAGUUACAUUCCAAGGUAAUGUUAAUAAUUUAAAUUAUUUAUUAUAGUGUAUGUUUCUUUAAAUAUCUUUAUAAACUACUGAAAUCUAAAACAAAAAGGUAACACAGUUAUAAGCAUUUGCCUAAAUACAUUUCCAGAGUGGGUAAUCACGGUAAUCACGCUAAGAAAUUUCGCAGCGAGUUCAAGAACGAAUAUCAACACGAAAUAAACGACUGUAACUUUCUUGCUGAUACGGCUGGAAAAUUAGCGGCAUUUAAAUAAUAAAUACAAGUAAUAAAGCCAUUUAUAAAGGUAUAAAACGGCGAAAUAUACCUGCCUCGGCAUGAACGUCGCCAUCUUGAUUAUCACGUGAUUACCCUCUAUGAUUUCUCUGUUGAUUGAAUAUUCCUUAACAUUAACCAUCACUAUUAAUUGUGAUAAUUACAUACAUGUAAUAUAUACCAUCCAAUGUUUUUGUUUUAUGACGAUUUUUUAUAUGUGUUGUUUCCGACAUUGUUUUGAUUUGAAAAUGCAUAUUGCUUAGAGGGAAUGAAUAUUAUUUAAAUUUGUUUAACAAAUUUAAAUGAGUUCAUGACUGAAGAAAAUAACUGCUUUGUUUUAAAACUAUAUAAGUUUUAUCCUUGCACUUUUCAUGUGAUUUGUCCUUUCUUGUUACAAUUAUCAUUUACGAAUUAAUAUCAAUAUGUGUAUUAAAUUUCGCAUCUGAAGACAAUAAGGUAAUACCACCACAAGUUUAUUUAAACAGAUGUCCAUAUACACUUUUUUAUGUCCCCCACUAUAGUAGUGGGGGACAUAUUGUUUUUGCCCUGUCUGUUGGUUGGUUGGUUGGUCUGUUUGCGCCAACUUGAACAUUUUGCAAUAACUUUUGCUAUAUUGAAGAUAGCAACUUGAUAUUUGGCAUGCAUGUGUAUCUCAUGGAGCUGCACAUUUUGAGUGGUGAAAGGUCAAGGUCAUCCUUCAAGGUCAGAGGUCAAAUAUAUGUGGCCAAAAUCGCUCAUUUUAUGAAUACUUUUGCAAUAUUGAAGAUAGAAACUUGAUAUUUGGCAUGCAUGUGUAUCUCAUGAAGCUGCACAUUUUGAGUGGUGAAAGGUCAAGGUCAUCCUUCAAGGUCAGAGGUCAAAUAUAUGUGGCCCAAAUCGCUUAUUUUAUGAAUACUUUUGCAAUAUUGAAGAUAGCAACUUGAUAUUUGGCAUGCAUGAAUAUCGUAUGGAGCUGCACAUUUUGAGUGGUGAAAGGUCAAGGUCAAGGUCAUCCUUCAAGGUCAAAUAUAUGGGUCAAAAUUGCUCAUGUAAUGUCACUUCUGCAAUAUUGAAGCAAGCAAUUUUAUAUUUGAAAUGCAUGUGUAUCUCAUGGAGCUGCACAUUUUGAGUGGUGAAGGGUCAAGGUCAUCCUUCAAGGUCAAACGUCAUAUAGGGGGACAUUGUGUUUCACAAACACAUCUUGUUAAAUUCUGGUUUUAGUAAACACACAAAUGGCAUUCAAUGCGCUAUUACGUAUAUGUGCAUAUAAACUAGAUGUGGCUUUCUUGUUCUAAAUGUUAAUUUCAUUAUAAGAAAAACACAUAUGGUAUUAAUGACAUCGUCAAACAUUAACAUUACAUGUUUAAGAGGUAAUAGAUGCUUUUUUCGAAACAAUAAGAAUAAUAAAUAAUAAUCAUUGAUAAAAAGUAUUAAGUGUCAAGUUUGAGAAAAUACAUAAAUGAAAUGUUCAGAAACAUCUCUGAAACAGACAAACAGAAGUUGCACUGUAACUGCUCCCUUAUGCUGCAUAGCGUUACAAAUAUUGCACAUUUGAGUAAAUUUAAGUUACAGAACAUCAUGCAUAGUUAAUGCCCAUGGAGUAUUUAGAGUUUUACUUUUCAUAUUCCGGCGCCCGUUGACUCGCGUCAGUGCUAUUGUGACUAUAUGCAUCUGUCAAAUUUCUAUAUAGACAUUCACGUGUUAAACAUGUUGCAGCUCUUGACGUGUUUCAGCUGCAUAACAAGUAGUUAUUGUUUGCUAAUAUACUAUUUACCAAUUACAUUGAAUAUACGAGAUCACAGAUUUUAUUUUAUACAAUUAUUAAAUCCAUUUAAUAAGAAUGUCUAAUGUUUUUAAUAGUUUACAUUUAUUAUAAUACCUAUGAGAAAAAGGAAGUAAAAACCUCGGCUUUACUCAGGACCUGUUUAAGCUUAAGCUAACUAGCUACAAGUGCACAACGUACGCUUCUGAAAUACUAGGUAUUUUGAAUGCCGUUUGUUUGUUAUACACGCAUUUUCCAAAUUUAAUUGUUCGUAAUUUAUUUAUAAUUGAUGUAAACUCUUCAACAAACGUUAUUUUCCUAUUUCGAUCAAUGUUAAAAAAAAGAGCCUUUCUCUUUUCUGAAUAAGUGUGUAGUGCAAUCUAUAUGUUUGUUUCGAUGUCACAUUUCACAGUAGAAGCAAAAAAAAGAUAAAAUAUUCAACAGUUUAUUUUCCGUUUUAGAUUUAGAACAUGUAUAUGCAUGUUUAAUACAAUUUUUGUAUCAACGGCUGAAUGAGACAAUAAACCAUAUAUUAUUAAAAUCAUUAGUUUUGUUA